UACGUAGGGUGCGAGCGUUAAUCGGAAUUACUGGGCGUAAAGCGUGCGCAGGCGGCUUUGCAAGACAGAUGUGAAAUCCCGAGGCUCAACCUGGGAAUUGCGAUGGAGACUGCAAGGCUUGAAUCUGGCAGAGGGGGAUGGAAUUCCGCGUGUAGCAGUGAAAUGCGUAGAUAUGCGGAGGAACACCAAUGGCGAAGGCAAUCCCCUGGGCCUGUACUGACGCUCAUGCACGAAAGCGUGGGGAGCAAACAGG
rnacentral:rRNA from 1 species